AUGGCCACAUAGCGGUCAUAAGACAUCACUGUAAGAAGGGCCACCUCACUCCAGGCCAAACCUGUGAAGAAAAAUAUCUGCAGCAUGCACUGCCCAUAUGAAAUGUAGCCACUUCGUGCCAGGGAACUGUCAACAUACUGGGGGACUGUGACAGAGAGGGAUGAGAGAUCCAGAAUGGAAAGGUGCUUCAGAAAGUAAUACAUUGGAGACUGGAGCUGUGGGUCCAGUGUUGUGAUGGUGAUAAUGAUGAAGUUCCCUGCUGAGCCCAAUAGAUUUCAACCGUUGUCCUGUGGCAUAUAUACAUUUACACC
rnacentral:lncRNA from 1 species